CCUUGUGUGUGAACUUGAGGAGCACUGGUUUUUAUUUUGUUGAUUAAAAGUAAUUGCAAAAAUUGGCUGCAAAAUGUUAAGUUAGUUCUGAGAAAGUUCUAGCACCAUUUGAGAAAAAGAAAGCAAGACCAAGUGAAAGAGAAGGAUUUAGGGCACACUAAGAAUCAGGUGUGUUGCUGCACCUAUUUGCCAACUGCUCUAUUUUGGGACUGGCAAUGGAGUGAAAAUGAAUUGAGGGAAUGCAGAUCUUCCAUCAUACUCAUAGUACAUAUAUAGAAGAAAGAAACUCAGGUUUGGAAUGACAUGAAGCCACCGCUCGCCCAUUGAUUAGACGCCGCAUUGGCAGUGUUUGCAUUUCCUGCAGACUCGGACCCCUCUGAGCACCCACACAAUGGGGACGGUUCAUGUGCCAGGUAAUUGGCGUCUGUGGGGGACAGGUGCUCCCACAAUGCAGCGGGGCUCUCUGCCGAGUCUUCUUUCACAUGACCGUAAUUACCUAAUUGAAAAGCUCACUGGGGGGAAAUGGGAAUGAGAGAUAAGGUCUCUUUCACCAAAUCUCAGGCUGCUUUUCUGUCGAGCUGAAAAAACAUCUAUUUGUUGCCACUUGAGGUAAAUAUUGUCCAAGGGAGAAAUGAUGGAAAGGAAAGCAAAGAUAGAGGACCCAUUGUAAACGAGGGUCUGAUUCAGACUGGCAGGGUUCAAUGGAGGACACACACAUGAGGAAAUGGACAAUAGACCCUCAGAUUUUUUGUUUUAGACUCAAUGUUAAUCUACUGUCUAUGAACUGAAGUGAUAAGAGUGAACGGAUGUAAAAAGCAUAAUGGCAUGCUAUGAAAGAAGAUGCCAAUAAAUGGUGUUUUGUUUUAAAAAAAGAUUUAACAAAUGAACUGGGUCAUAUCACUUCUGAUAUCUCAGUAUAUUAGUAUUAAACAUAUAUUAGUAUUAAAAUUUGUUUG